rnacentral:rRNA from 1 species
CUUGGUCAUUUAGAGGAAGUAAAAGUCGUAACAAGGUUUCCGUAGGUGAACCUGCGGAAGGAUCAUUACAGUAAAAACAAGGUCGCGCGCAGUUGCUGGCCCUCCGGGGCAUGUGCACGCCGCGUCCGCAUCCUUCUCACACCCCUGUGCACCUUUGCGUGGGGUGCCGUUUGGCUUUCGCCUUCGGUGCUCCGCGUCUUACACACACCACGUAUGUCUUCAGAAUGUCUACUUGCGAUAAAAAGCAAAUUAAAUACAACUUUCAACAACGGAUCUCUUGGCUCUCGCAUCGAUGAAGAACGCAGCGAAAUGCGAUAAGUAAUGUGAAUUGCAGAAUUCAGUGAAUCAUCGAAUCUUUGAACGCACCUUGCGCCCCUUGGUAUUCCGAGGGGCACGCCUGUUUGAGUGUCGUGAACUUCUCACCCCCGCACCUUUCUUUUGAAGGGUCGAUUUGGGGCGUGGAUGUGGAGGCCUUGCCGGAAUCUCUGCCGCUUGUCGGGAGGGGAUCGGCUCCUCUGAAAUGCAUUAGUGGAGACCCCAGUGUUGGCCUUCGGUGUGAUAAUUGUCUACGCUGUUGUGCCACACGUCGUGGGACCUGCUUCUAACCCGCCGUCGUCACCUUUUACUAGGUGGCACGCACUUUCAUCGAAACUUGACCUCAAAUCAGGCGGGACUACCCGCUGAACUUAAGCAUAUCA